GCUACAUAUUAGAAGAGAGCUUUGGUGGAUACCAUGGAUAAACUAACCGCUAUGAUGACUUAUGUUGGGGGCUGCCAUGCUGACUGGUGUAAUAUUUCUGGAGAAUGACACAACAAAUCAAAGACUUCAAGCAUGACAGUAGCCUACAGACUGAACCAGAGCUUCACCAGCCCACACACACUGCUACACCGUCAGCAUGGCAACCAGAGGGCACUCCAGUGGUGUGAACGUGCUGACAGGAUGGAGCUGCUCUAAACAACACCAUCUGAGAGAUCAUAUUUCAUUACAUCAUCAUUUCCUUUACUCGGUCCAGGUAGCAGGUUCAGGAUGCAGUCGAGCUUCCUCUUGCGGCAGCGCUGCGCAGCGAUACGGUUCUUACUCCGCCGCCUCAUGUCAUGGAUGAACUCGAG